AAACCAUUUCAAUUUUUUUUUCUUUCUUCCCCUCUCCUUCCGGGGUCUGGUCAGAGCGUUCUCCUCCUUCCCGUUCUCCGGCCACCGCUUGACAAGGGCGAAGUGGCGGUCGUCGACUCUCCUAACGCCGCUGGCUCCUUUUCGGCCCCCCUCCACGCAAACAAAGCCUCUGGCGGUGCGAAAACGAGACUGUCUCUGUUGACAGUUCUCGUUCCUCGACCUCCAGCAAAAGCUUGCCGUUUCAGGAAAGCACAGUUCGAGAGAAGGGCAUCGAUCGACUCGUCUCCUUCUGGCUUUGAACAUUUACGGUGUAGUCCGAAUUUCCUGCCACCGUACACGGCGGCGCCAGCGGAGUCUCCAGUGACCGGAGUUUCCAAGAGCCAGAAUUUUGCAAUUUUUUUUUUCGUGUAGAGUAUGAAUAUAUAAUUAGUUUUGCUAUUUGACAUCAAUUGAUAGUUGGAGUGCAAAUUGACGCAAUUUAGGAAUUAGACUGCAGGUUGAAAAAUCGCGAAAUGUCGAUAAUACAAGAACUGUACAAUCUUAGAAAGGUUUGAUUAACUAGUUAGCAAAGUAAUUACAUUUUGUUAGUAUCCAAAAUAAGUUAUAUGUAUGAAUUUAAUAAUAGUUAGGAUGUUUUAGUUUCUAUGAAGUUGAUUAGUGAAUUUGCCA